GAUGAAGAACGCAGCGAAAUGCGAUAAGUAAUGUGAAUUGCAGAAUUCAGUGAAUCAUCGAAUCUUUGAACGCACCUUGCGCCCUUUGGCUAUUCCGAAGGGCAUGCCUGUUUGAGUAUCAUGAACACCUCAACUCUCAUGGUUUGCCAUGAUGAGCUUGGACUUUGGGGGUCUUGCCGGCCUAUGGGUCGGCUCCUCUCAAAUUAAUCAGCUUGCCAGUGUUUGGUGGCAUCACAGGUGUGAUAACUAUCUACGCUUGUGGUUUUCCAUCAGGUAACCUUCAGUGAUGGAGGUUCGCUGGGGCUCAUAAAUGUCUCUCCUCAGUGAGGACAGCUUUUUUGAACGUUUGAUCUCAAAUCAGGUAGGACUACCCGCUGAACUUAAGCAUAUCAAUAAGCGGAGGA
rnacentral:misc_RNA from 1 species